GCUCAGAUUGCUCGGUCAGUAGAGCAUGAGACUCUUAAUCUCAGGGCUGUGGGUUUGAGUCCUACGUUGGGCG